CCGACAUUAAAAUAAAUAAAGAAAUAAAAUAAAAAUAAACUACUGCAAGUGAACGGCGAGGGCUCAGAAAAUCCAAGCGUCCAAUUCUUCCAACUUAUAUCUCGUUGUGAUGUGAAUGGCUCAGGAACUGCUCGUUAUUAAACACUAUUCCCAGUUCAGCAGAGCCUGAACGGCACCCAAACAGGUACUGAACUCCAUUCUUGAUUAAGGGUUUCUCAGGUGGUGAUGUAACAAGAUUGUGGUUUUAAGAACCAUUUUGUUUGAUAUAAAUCAGUUUGACAUGUAUUGAUCCAUCUUAUUAAUUUCUUUUAUUUUCGCACAGUGUCAAAUUGUGUGUGUGCUAAUAUAACCUUGUUUCCUUGAUGCCCGUGAGAAGUUGACUUCUCAGUUGCGCUGGCAUUUCACAUCAUGAAAAGCAUGUCACUGUUUAAUUUGUCAAGAAAAAGGGUUCACUAAGCUCAUAAAAAAUCGUAACUGCCAUCUACAGCAAGUAGUGCAAACAAUGGGUCUUUUAAAUAAAGAAUAUUUAAAGCACACCUAUUAUGCUUUUUCAGAUAUUACCUUUCAUGUAGUGUUGUAUAGCUGUUUGUGAAUGUAAAAAAAUGUCUGCAAAGUUUCAAAAAUCAAAAUGCAUGACAAAUUGAGUUAUUGAUUCCCAAAAGAAACCCGAUUUUGAGCAGCUGAAACGAGUCUUCUGUAAUUCCAGACUUACUUCCUGUACAAACCUGUAGGUUUGUAACCAAAACCCCCGCCUCUGGUCUUCAUUGGCUUUUAGCGAACGUGUACUUUGACCCACUCUCAAACACUACACUACAGUAGUUGCGUCAUGAAAGAGUUAGGUUCAUGUCUAGAAGACGUUGGUUUCUGCGCUGCAGAAGUAAAAGCACUUUGCAUGGACUCAGAGGAUGAGGACGUAAAGCAUCAGUGGUUAGAGUUAAUUUUUAAACUUCUCAGCGGUUCAGCUCUGACCUUCAUUUGUGUUCCCGUCAUUUCACUGACGACUGCUUCUCACAUCUAGCUGAAGUCAAUGAGGGAUUUACGAAAUGAUUAUUCCUUAAAGAUGGGGCCGUACCCACUUUAUUUGGACCAUUUUGCGCCUCUGGAUCACAACCUCCAGUGUACUGCUGUAGGCCUCUGUUAACCGGCUAACUCACAUUAUUGCCAAACUACCUACAAACCUACCACUGAGAAACAUUCUGUUCUCAUCGUGCUUGUGAUGGUGGUUCGGGUUGAUCUUCCGACGUAUCAGACUCGGGGCUCAAAUUGAUGAGGUAAAUCCGACAACAUUAUUACUGAGCUGAAAUGAUAUAAGAUAUGAUAGUGAGGGUUUCAUUUCCAACGCGUUGUGAGCGGUAUAACAAUCACAACAGACUUGGGCAUCUGACCAGUCAGAGCAGAGUAGACUCUCUGUAAGGAGGAGUUUAGUGUGAACAGAUCCUUGAGCGAGUCGUUUGUAACCCUUUGAACAAGAGGUGAUGCUGCAAUGUAAAUUAUGAGAAAAUUUGUGUUUUUUGACCUUGGAUGCAUGUAAACCUUUUGUUUGAGAUUUCUAAUACAAAAUUAGGCACUUUUAUACAGCAUAAUAAGGGCACUUUAAAGAAAAGGUAUUUAAAAAAAAAAAAAAAAACAAAACCUGUUUGCACUAUUUGCUGUCAGUAUUUUUACACCUCUGCAUUUUCCAAAGUUCAUUCAAAGAAAGUGUUGAAAAAUUAGUUUAUUUGUAAAUGCGCUAUGUCAGAACAAAAAUGAAAUCAUAAUCACGAAUCGUCAAAACGUUGAAUUUUAUUAAUUUUUUUUGCGAUAUCGCCAAGCCCAAGAUCGCAGCGAUCUAAUUCAAUGAUGAACUAAUUAAACUAAUAAAAUUCUUGCUCAACAAGAAUUUCUACACUUUUAUUGCAGCGGGAGCUGAUGUACAUCUCAUAUGCCUCAUGUUUUAAAGAAGUAUAAGGUUUAAUUAGGAAACAUGCAUCAGUUUUCCAAGAAAGCUUGCAUUUCGACCUCAUUAUCGUGGACACUUUGAUGAAGGGUGGCACAAUAAGUUUAUAAUUUUAUACUGUAGCGUUUAUAUCAAUCAUUUUUCUAUCUGUGUGUUACUGUAAUAUGUAUAUUGUUUGUUGCUUCUUUGGAUGAGCAAAAAGGAGUUCAUCAUUGACUGAUGAAUUUUAGCUUCUGGGUGCAGAUAUGAUAAAAUGCGUUAUAGUGGACUGUGUUCCACUUUCAGCAUGUACGCGUCGUAUGUGUGUGUAAUAUAUAAUUAGUACAUAUAUUUUUGGUGUUCACUCAAAUAUCAAUUACAGAACUGUUCCCUUAAGUAAAUCAACUAAAAUGUUCAAAAUAAAUACUCGUCAACCUGUACAUGGACCACGCCACCUUAACUGAAGUGGUGAAAAGCUCAACUCUGCAUUGUAUGUGUUGUGCUUCUCUCUUAACUAUGGAUAAUUCUGUUUGAAAUCUAGCAAGUGACUCCAUCAUGGAGGAGAUUGUGAGCCCUGAGCUAGCUCAAAGUCCUGAGCCUGAGUCCAGCCAGGAUUUGGAUUCCAGUUCACAAGGUACCACUGACCUUGGAGCGCUGUAUGAAUGAGAGCUUCAUUUACCUGGUUCGCAGCAGCUUGGUGGAACUUUAAUCUGGCUCUGAAUCAGUUCUACUAUUGAACUUAUUGUUGCAAACUGGUGUCUCAAUUCAAAUCUUGCACUCUAAAUCGAUUCGGGGAAUCAUUUCAAUUCUGCUAUUGGAUCUUGGCCUCGCCGAAUUCUGUAUGGCGAAUCUAGCCGAUGAAUGCCACUUGCUUAGUCACGUUUGCUUUUGCC
ensembl:lncRNA